rnacentral:misc_RNA from 1 species
AAGUCGUAACAAGGUUUCCGUAGGUGAACCUGCGGAAGGAUCAUUAGUGAUUUGGCUCCGGCCUUAUUCUUGUCCAACCUCUGUGAACCGUGGCCCCCGGGCCGUAUUUUAAACAUCAGUGUAAAGAAUGUAAAACAUAUUAAACAAACAAAACUUUUAACAACGGAUCUCUUGGCUCUC